CGCAGCACCAUAUCCACCAACACCUUUCUCCUCCCCACCCUCAUUUCCUUGUGUACUUCUUGUGCUCUCUGUGGGACUGAAACUACAGCUGAUAACCUUCAGUGCUCUCUUCUAGGAUGGUCCCACCUAAUACCAAGCCAUAUCCACACUUAGUUCUUUGCCAGACUUGUUCUGUGUUUCCAGUAGCUAGAGGGUGAAAAACCUGUAUCCGAAAGUGAAUGCAAAGUGGCUCCUGUAGCUUUAGGGCAGCUACUGUGAGGUAAGGGUGUGUGUGAUGUGUAUGUGUUGAGAGAGAAUAUGGUAGGAGAAAGGGAGAAGGCACGACAGAGCUAGAGAAGGAAAAAUAAAGUAUACCUAGAACACAACAUCAACCAGUUAGUAGUAACACAUAGUUAUAAUCAGCUAU
rnacentral:lncRNA from 1 species